GACGAACGCUGGCGGCGUGCUUAACACAUGCAAGUCGAACGGAAAGGCCCUGCUUUUGUGGGGUGCUCGAGUGGCGAACGGGUGAGUAACACGUGAGUAACCUGCCCUUGACUUUGGGAUAACUUCAGGAAACUGGGGUUAAUACCGUAUAGGUGCUCCUGCUGCAUGGUGGGGGUUGGAAAGUUUCGGCGGUUGGGGAUGGACUCGCGGCUUAUCAGCUUGUUGGUGGGGUAGUGGAUUACGAAGGCUUUGACGGGUAGCCGGCCUGAGAGGGUGACCGGCCACAUUGGGACUGAGAUACGGCCCAGACUCCUACGGGAGGCAGCAGUGGGGAAUAUUGCACAAUGGGCGGAAGCCUGAUGCAGCAACGCCGCGUGCGGGAUGACGGCCUUCGAGUUGUAAACCGCUUUCGCCUGUGACGAAGCGUGAGUGACGGUAAUGGGUAAAGAAGCACCGGCUAACUACGUG
rnacentral:rRNA from 1 species